rnacentral:lncRNA from 1 species
CCCAUCUGUCACUGCUCCCUAAUCUGCACUCACCACCAGCUUGCUGCAUUCUUUGUAGUUUGUGUCUUACCCUCUGUUUUUCUCACUUCUGCCUGGACGUGCCUAAACAGCUAUGCUCUGCACAUGACUUCCUAUAUGUAAGAAAAAACAUUCAGUUUUUCCUUUCUCCAGGAGACCAGAUCCCCAACUCAGCACGCAUGUAAGAUGCUAACAACUCAGCAUGGAUCUAAGAUGCUGUCUUUCCUCUUAUAAUUCACUCAUCAUGGAAAGGAAAGACUGUGGAUUCCCUCAAGAUUAUUAGAGAUCAGGUUUGAUUGUGGGAGACUUCCUGAAAAUCUUGGCUACAGACAUAAAGAAAUAAAGCAAGAAAAACUACAAAACAGCACCCAUUUACUUCAGAAAAGAUGAUGGGCAUCAAAGAUCCUCCAUAUGGAGUUUGCUUUUAAUAUAGCAAAACUAGCCAUUUGGACAAGAAACUGUCCUUGCUUUGACUGCUGAGUGUAUACCAUCCAAAGUGGACAUGCAGUAUACAUAGGAAAGCAGCUACUGAACUUCACAAAAACAAGUCAGGACAAUCAUUCAAACUCCCUGCUCCGCAGAAAAGGCUGUCAGAUAUUCUGGACCCAUAGGCCUAAGAUGGAUGCCCCAGUGAUGAAGAGGAACUUUGGUUGACUGUCAUUUCUAUAGUUUUGAAAGUGGCUUGCAAUUUACUUUCUGUUUACUCAAG